GACGAACCGUGCAAACGUUGUUCGGAAUCACUGGGCUUAAAGGGCGCGUAGGCGGUCAGGUAAGUGGGAUGUGAAAUGCCCCGGCUCACCCGGGGACCGGCAUCCCAUACUGCUUGGCUUGAGUACGGGAGAGGAUGUGGGAAUUCCUGGUGUAGCGGUGAAAUGCGUAGAUAUCAGGAGGAACACCGGUGGCGAAGGCGCACAUCUGGCCCGAUACUGACGCUGAGGCGCGAAAGCUAGGGGAGCAAACGGG
rnacentral:rRNA from 1 species